rnacentral:rRNA from 1 species
UACGAAGGGGGCAAGCAUUAUCCACAAUUAUUGGGUGUAAAGAGUUCUUAGACGGCAUAUUUCAGGGGCAAGUAAAAUUUUAGGGUUAUACUUAAGACUAUCUGCUUCAAAUCUUGUGCUUUGAGUAAAAUAGGGGUUGCUAGAAUUUCAUUUCGAGGGGCGGAAUCCGAUCAGUAGUGGAGGAAUGCCAGUGGCGAAGGCGGGUAACUAUAUUUCACUGACGUUUUCAAACGAAAUUAUGGGGAUCAAAACGG